AAAGUCAAUUAGGGUUCAACCAAAUAACUCCCUCCCAAAAUUUUAAUCCUUGCUUCUCAUCCUCUCCCCUACGUCUAGCAAUUCAAAGAACUUUGCUCCCAUACGUUUGCUGAUCGAGGAACUAAGCCUCUUGCAGAAGCAAUUUCAAAGAACCCGCUCCCAUACGUUUUGCAACCGAUUCAACCUCUGUAGAAGAAUUUGCAAACCCUGACCCUAAUUUGAGGCGUCACGAUUCUCCGACGGUUCUAGAAGACGGCGCCGCCGCGUCAGAAACACCGCCUCUGGCUGCUAAAGCGAUUAUAGCGUCAUUGCGGACCGUGAUUCUUCUCUCUCUUCGGCUUAUGGUCAACCGGCGCUUUCACCACGGAAUGUUAAGUCAAAUCCACUUCGAUCUUCACACUCAUCUGCUCCUAAGACUAUGUUGGUAACAAACCAGCUGUUGGCUUCUAGCAUGCAAGUAUCGACGAAAUAAACUCUGCCUAGGAUCCCAUUAACCAUUUGAUAUGCAUAAUCUAAUCAGCACUUGACCUGCAUCCAUGCCGCUUGAGCCUGAGCCCGAGCCUAAAUAUGGAGUGAUGAGAUUGUGGGACGGUUUAAAGAGUUUGGUGGUUCGGUUUGUGAUGAGAGUGUAGAUGUUUAUAAAGAAGGCGUGGAACCUCGGAGUAGAUGACCCUAGAAAAUUCUUGCAUAGUCUUAAAGUCGGAAUCGCUUUAAUCGCCGUUUCUUUGUUUUACUACAUGAGACCGUUGCAUGAUGGUGUUGGUGGUAGUGCCAUUUGGGCUGUUAUGACCGUUGUUGUCGUCUUUGAAUAUACUGUUGGUGGAACUUUGUCCAAGUCUUUGAAUAGAAUUUUUGGCACUACUCUUGCUGGAUUUCUUGCACUUGGGAUUCAUUGGAUUGCUAGCCAUUUAGGCCACCAAUUUGAGCUAUACAUCAUGGGGAUUUCUCUUUUUUAACUAGCUUUGGCUACAACCUUUUCGAGAUUUAUUCCUAUAGUGAAAGCUAGAUUCGACUACGGUUAAUCAGGGGUGGAGGUAGAAGAGGAAAGAGAUGGCAUGAAGAUUGUCGAGGUACUAAAAAACGUAAUAAAACAGACUCGUGUUCGGUUAAAGUUAAAUGAAUGAACACGAACAUGCCCCCAUUUGUAUUCGUUCGGUUCAUUUAUAGGUCUAUGUCCCGUAUCCACAAACGUUUUAAAACUAAUACAUACAUGUCCCAUUACCCAUCUGGAAUGUUUCAGGUUUUGGGUUGGUCCGUCGGGUUCAGGUCGGUUCGUUCAUGUUUUUGCAGAUUGCUGCUUGAAUUUUGAUCUAUUAUAUUAGCGAAUUUGGAAUUUUAUGUUUUUUAUGAUCAUCAACUAACUGUUUUGUGCAUGAUUAGGGUGCUGAUAGCUUGCAUGAAUCAACUAGCUAAUUUGAGAUUUUAUCAUUUUUAUGAUCAUCAACUAGCGAACUUGGGAUUUUAUCAUUUUGAUCUAUUAUGUUUUCUUGUUUCAUUUCUUGAAAUUACAUAAUUGUGGUUUUUUAUAUUGAUAGAACUCUAAUUCGGUU